rnacentral:rRNA from 1 species
GGGGGCCACUACCCAUGCAAGUCGAACGGCAGCACAGAAGAGCUUGCUCUUUGGGUGGCGAGUGGCGGACGGGUGAGUAAUGUCUGGGAAACUGCCCGAUGGAGGGGGAUAACUACUGGAAACGGUAGCUAAUACCGCAUAACGUCGCAAGACCAAAGUGGGGGACCUUCGGGCCUCACACCAUCGGAUGUGCCCAGAUGGGAUUAGCUAGUAGGUGGGGUAAUGGCUCACCUAGGCGACGAUCCCUAGCUGGUCUGAGAGGAUGACCAGCCACACUGGAACUGAGACACGGUCCAGACUCCUACGGGAGGCAGCAGUGGGGAAUAUUGCACAAUGGGCGCAAGCCUGAUGCAGCCAUGCCGCGUGUAUGAAGAAGGCCUUCGGGUUGUAAAGUACUUUCAGCGGGGAGGAAGGCGGUGAGGUUAAUAACCUUGCCGAUUGACGUUACCCGCAGAAGAAGCACCGGCUAACUCCGUGCCAGCAGCCGCGGUAAUACGGAGGGUGCAAGCGUUAAUCGGAAUUACUGGGCGUAAAGCGCACGCAGGCGGUCUGUUAAGUCAGAUGUGAAAUCCCCGGGCUUAACCUGGGAACUGCAUUUGAAACUGGCAGGCUUGAGUCUCGUAGAGGGGGGUAGAAUUCCAGGUGUAGCGGUGAAAUGCGUAGAGAUCUGGAGGAAUACCGGUGGCGAAGGCGGCCCCCUGGACGAAGACUGACGCUCAGGUGCGAAAGCGUGGGGAGCAAACAGGAUUAG